AACCUUACAAUUUUUUUAAAAAUCAGCCUAAUUUUAACGAUAAAUAUUAGUUCACAGUCAAUCAAAUUGUAGAUCAACAAAGUAACUUAUGUGGCAUGCCACAUAAGCAUAAUCUCAUAAUUUUUUUUUUCAUUUUAUUUCCUUUCUUACUUCUUCUUUCUUUCUCUCUUUCUUCUUCAUGGUUUUUGCAUUAGAUGGAAACCAAUAAAACAAAACCAACAAACUUCCUCAAGUAGCCUCUCACAAAUCCGUUCUCUAGAAAUCCACCUACCAAUGAUCUUGCUCCAUUGCGGUCUCUAUUGCCAAUGGAGCCUCCUGCAUCAACUAGUACAUGUGCAGCUCAAUUCGUUUUCCUCAUCACAUAUCUACCCAUGGGAAACUAAACAAAGCCUCUGUGCAAAGUCUAUUAACUCCUCCACUACUGUCAAACGUUCUAAGGUUUGAAAUCUUAUCUUCCUCAAUGGUGGAGAAAGAGGCAUUGUCGAAGCUCGCUAGGGCCAACCCACCAACUGAAGACAUGGAUCUCAAAACCUUAACUCCUUCGCCCAAAACCCUAAUGCCAGAGACGAUGCCAACAAUGACUUCGAAUCGAGUGCAAGAGAUAGGAAAAUGACGAAGAAACUGAAGACGUUUCUAAAAAGUAGAAACUAGAGAAGUCCGUAGAGGAAGAAAGGUUGGAGAAAAAGUCAGAUGGGUCACCGAAUUUGGGUCGUGUUCGGCUCGAUUCGAAGGAGUUCGGGUCGUCGUCGGAGAUGCUUGAUUACUUCUACUAUUUUCUUCACCAUUGAGGUACUCAACUGAACUUUAACAAGGAGUUUGAUCCCAUCCCAUGUGUUACGGCGGCGGUAAAAAAAGAGUGAAGGAGAUGGCGGUGCCGGCGGUAACGAAUCGAGAGAAGAAGGAAAGAUUUAAAAAAGUAAUAAACUUGGCAUUUAUUGACCUAGUCCUUUUCGUAUUUUUUGGAAAAAGGAGUUGGGUGGGUCCAUGCUUAUUUGGCUUUGUCGUUUAAUUUUUUUAAUUUAACCAAGUUUAUUUACCUCCAAAUAUUGUUCAGGUUUUAAGUUGAUUUAUAAAUUUAUAAAUAUUUUAAUUAA